rnacentral:pre_miRNA from 1 species
CAAUUACUCCUUCUGAUCCAUAUUAAUUGUCGAAAUAUUACAUGUAUCUAAACAUUUUUUAGACAUAGAUACAUUCAUAGUUGGGCAAAUUUGAGACAAUUAAUUAGGAUCGGAGGGAGUAUCAC